AACGAGCGCUGGCGGCAUGCCUAACACAUGCAAGUCGAACGAACCCUUCGGGGUUAGUGGCGCACGGGUGCGUAACGCGUGGGAAUCUGCCCUUUGCUUCGGAAUAACAGUUAGAAAUGACUGCUAAUACCGGAUGAUGUCUUCGGACCAAAGAUUUAUCGGCAAGGGAUGAGCCCGCGUAGGAUUAGGUGGUUGGUGGGGUAAAGGCCUACCAAGCCGACGAUCCUUAGCUGGUCUGAGAGGAUGAUCAGCCACACUGGGACUGAGACACGGCCCAGACUCCUACGGGAGGCAGCAGUGGGGAAUAUUGGACAAUGGGCGCAAGCCUGAUCCAGCAAUGCCGCGUGAGUGAUGAAGGCCUUCGGGUCGUAAAGCUCUUUUACCAGGGAUGAUAAUGACAGUACCUGGAGAAUAAGCUCCGGCUAACUCCGUGCCAGCAGCCGCCGUAA
rnacentral:rRNA from 1 species